UACGUAGGGAGCAAGCGUUGUCCGGAAUCAUUGGGCGUAAAGCGCGCGUAGGUGGCUUCGUAAGUCCGCUGUGAAAGUCCAAGGCUCAACCUUUGAAAGCCGGUGGAUACUGCGGGGCUAGAGUACGGAAGAGGCGAGUGGAAUUCCUGGUGUAGCGGUGGAAUGCGCAGAUAUCAGGAGGAACACCAAUUGCGAAGGCAGCUCGCUGGGACGUUACUGACGCUGAGACGCGAAAGCGUGGGGAGCGAACAGG
rnacentral:rRNA from 1 species